UCGAUUAACCUGACACAAGGCAGGGAUGUUUUUGGCUGGAACCUUACUACAUCGGGGUCUUUCACAGUAGACUUUAUGUAUCAUGCGCUAAUGCAUUCUGAUGUACCAGUGAGUAAUAACAAGAAAAUUUGGAAGUCGAAGAUUCCACUAAAAGUUAAAAUCUUCAUGUGGUAUCUUCAUAGGGGAGUUGUGCUAACCAAAGACAACCUUGCACGACGCACCUGGCCAUGAAGUAAGCAGUGUUGCUUUUGUGCUCAUGACGAGACAAUGAAGCACCUCUUUUUCCAAUGCAAGUUUGCACGUUCUACAUGGUCAGUCAUCCAAAUAGCUUCAAAUUUGUAUCCGCCCACAAGUGUUGCCAAUAUAUUUGGUCAUUGGUUGGACGGUAUUUCAAAUAAGUUCAAAACGCUAAUAAGGGUGGGAGCAUAUGCUAUAUAG
rnacentral:rRNA from 1 species